rnacentral:rRNA from 1 species
AGCGAACGCUGGCGGCAGGCCUAACACAUGCAAGUCGAGCGGCCGUAGCAAUACGGCAGCGGCAGACGGGAGAGUAACACGUGGGAACGCGCCCUUCGGUUCGGGAUAACUCAGGGAAAAUUGGGCUAAUACCGGAUACGCCCUUACGGGGAAAGAUUUAUUGCCGAAGGAACGGCGCGCGUCCGAUUAGCUUGUUGGUGGGGUAACGGCUCACCAAGGCGACGAUCUGUAGCUGGUCUGAGAGGAUGAGCAGCCUCACUGGGACUGAGACACGGCCCAGACUCCUACGGGAGGCAGCAGUGGGGAAUAUUGGACAAUGGGCGCAAGCCUGAUCCAGCCAUGCCGCGUGGGUGAUGAAGGCCCUAGGGUUGUAAAGCCCUUUCAGCGGGGAAGAUAAUGACGGUACCCGCAGAAGAAGCCCCGGCUAACUUCGUGCCAGCCGCCGCAGUAAUAC